GGGAGAGAACAUGAGGGAGGAUGCAGCUGGACAGAAAGAGGAUUACUGCUCCUGUGAGCGCAUCAUGCCGCACUAAAACACGGAACAGGGAUGUAGGCUAAGAGAGCUGGCAGUAUUAGCCCAUCAACAAUGCUUACCCCUCUGAAGGAGAGUCCUCCAGUGACAGUGCUCUCUCUGCUGAUGUGGAGCCGUCCCAGCUGUGGUGACUACAUCCCACCACAAGGGAGAGGGACAGGGAGAUGCUCUGCUCCCCACUCACCACCACAUGAGCCCUGGAAAACACAGGAUGACCCUGAUGAUGCACCUCCUGCUUCCUCUAGAUUUUUUCCCAAACAUCCCCUGGUGUCAUAUUCCCUCUCAACCUGAGAUCUUCUGCAAGAUGUUCAAACAUCUACUUGAAUGCACCAACAAAAAAGCAGCGGCUAACCAGGAGAAGGGGAAGGACAUUCUUCGGACACCAGUUUCAACUGAUGAGCUUAGGAAAUUCAUUGGUCUGCUGCUUUAUAUGUCUGUGGGCCACCUUCCACAGCUAAAUGAUUAUUGGCGCCAAUGGACAAUUUUUCACCAGGCUCACCUUGCAAAUGUCAUGUCCCACAACUGUUUUCGGCUCAUUCUGAGUAACCUCCACAUGACUGACCCAAAGGCAGACAGAAAGGGAUCUAGGGGCAGCAUCAGAUGGAUCAGGGAUGAUGACCUUCUUUUUGUCAAGGAGAAGUACACUUCCAAGGUCUCCCUCUGCUCCAGUGUUCACCCAGUCUACAGCGAGAACAUGGUUGAGCACUGGCAGAAGACAGGUGAGCAACACUGGAGAGUCUCCAUCCCUAUACUCACAGUUGUCUGUGAAUACAACAAGUAUAUGGGAGGAAUUUACACCUCGUAUAAAAUGCUUUGAACCAUCACAGUGUUCCAGCACCUUGUGGACAUUUCUGUGACCACAUCUAUGAAGUCCAUGAGGAGGUGUGUGCCACCCAGCAGCAGCCACAUGACCCGGCAAGCAAUCCAAGAUAAUACGACAGAACACCUACUUGGAAUACCCCUAAAAUGUUUUUCUUCUAUCCCACCAGCCACCCACCAUUACCCUGACUCCACAAGCGGUGGUAAUCCAGCUUCCCAGCGUUUGACCAAGGGGCAGUGCAUUUGCAAACUUUGCAAAAAGUUGACCAGCUGGACGUGCAAACUUUGCAAUGCACCACUGUGUCUGCAACAAGCCAAAAACUGCUUCAAGUAGUUCCAUGUUGAUUAGCUAAUAUGUAGGCAUUGUAAUAGUUUGUAGUGAUAAAGUUAUAUCGUAAUGAUUGCAGUAUUGUUAUGUUGUUAUAGUUAUUAUAUUUGACUUUUGAAUAUUAAUGUUUUUCUUGCCAGUUUAAGUGAAAACAAAUACAUAUGAAUGAUUC